CACGCCAUAAACGAUGGAUACUUGUUGUUGGAGGUAUUGACCCCUUCAGUGACGAAGCUAACGCGUUAAGUAUCCCGCCUGGGGAGUACGGUCGCAAGAUUAAAACUCAAAGAAAUUGACGGGGGCCCGCACAAGCGGUGGAGCAUGUGGUUUAAUUCGAUGCAACGCGAAGAACCUUACCUAGGCUUGACAUGAACUGGAAGGGUAGCAGAAAUGCUCCCGCCUUCGGGCCGGUUCACAGGUGC
rnacentral:rRNA from 1 species